UACGAAGGGGGGCUAGCGUUGCUCGGAAUCACUGGGCGUAAAGGGUGCGUAGGCGGGUCUUUAAGUCAGGGGGUGAAAUCCUGGAGCUCAACUCCAGAACUGCCUUUGAUACUGAAGAUCUUGAGUUCGGGAGAGGUGAGUGGAACUGCGAGUGUAGAGGUGAAAAUUCGUAGAUAUUCGCAAGAACACCAGUGGCGAAGGCGGCUCACUGGCCCGAUACUGACGCUGAGGCACGAAAAGCGUGGGGAGCAAACAGGG
rnacentral:rRNA from 1 species